rnacentral:rRNA from 1 species
AGUCGAGGGGUAUAGUUCUUCGGAGCUAGAGACCGGCGCACGGGUGCGUAACGCGUAUGCAAUCUACCUUUUACAGAGGGAUAGCCCAGAGAAAUUUGGAUUAAUACCUCAUAGUAUUGCAACAUGGCAUCAUUAUUAUAUUAAAGUCACAACGGUAAAAGAUGAGCAUGCGUCCCAUUAGCUAGUUGGUAAGGUAACGGCUUACCAAGGCUACGAUGGGUAGGGGUCCUGAGAGGGAGAUCCCCCACACUGGUACUGAGACACGGACCAGACUCCUACGGGAGGCAGCAGUGAGGAAUAUUGGACAAUGGGCGCAAGCCUGAUCCAGCCAUGCCGCGUGCAGGAUGACGGUCCUAUGGAUUGUAAACUGCUUUUAUACGAGAAGAAACACUCCAACGUGUUGGAGCUUGACGGUAUCGUAAGAAUAAGGAUCGGCUAACUCCGUGCCAGCAGCCGCGGUAAUACGGAGGAUCCAAGCGUUAUCCGGAAUCAUUGGGUUUAAAGGGUCCGUAGGCGGUUUAAUAAGUCAGUGGUGAAAGCCCAUCGCUCAACGGUGGAACGGCCAUUGAUACUGUUAAACUUGAAUUAUUAGGAAGUAACUAGAAUAUGUAGUGUAGCGGUGAAAUGCUUAGAGAUUACAUGGAAUACCAAUUGCGAAGGCAGGUUACUACUAAUGGAUUGACGCUGAUGGACGAAAGCGUGGGUAGCGAACAGGAUUAGAUACCCUGGUAGUCCACGCCGUAAACGAUGGAUACUAGCUGUUGGAAGCAAUUUCAGUGGCUAAGCGAAAGUGAUAAGUAUCCCACCUGGG